rnacentral:rRNA from 1 species
UACGUAGGGGCCAAGCGUUGUCCGGAUUUAUUGGGCGUAAAGAGCUCGUAGGCGGUUCGGCAAGUCGAAUGUGAAAUCUCCACGCUCAACGUGGAGGGGUCAUUCGAUACUGCCGUGACUUGAGUACGGUAGGGGAGUGUGGAGUUCCCGGUGUAGCGGUGAAAUGCGCAGAGAUCGGGAGGAACACCCGUAGCGAAGGCGGCACUCUGGGCCGAUACUGACGCUGAGGAGCGAAAGCGUGGGGAGCGAACAGG